rnacentral:rRNA from 1 species
GUGCGGAAUUUUAGAUAAUGGAGGGAACUCUGAUCUAGCGACGCCGCGUGCAGGAAGAAGGUCUUCGGAUUGUAAACUGCUGUGGUAAGGGAAAAAUGCUAUGUAGAGUGGAAAGCUACAUAGAGGGAUGGUACCUUACUAGAAAGCCCCGGCUAACUACGUGCCAGCAGCCGCGGUAAUACGUAGGGGGCGAGCGUUACCCGGAAUCACUGGGCGUAAAGGGAGCGUAGGUGGCCUAACAUGUCAACUGUGAAAACCCGGAGCUCAACUCCGGACUUGCAGUUGAAACUGGUAGGCUUGAGGACGGUAGAGGAAGACGGAACUGCCAGUGUAGGGGUAAAAUCCUUAGAUAUUGGCAGGAACGCCGGUGACGAAGGUGGUUUUCUGGGCCGGUUCUGACACUGAUGCUCGAAAGCCAGGGGAGCGAACGGGAUUAGAUACCCCGGUAGUCC